AUGCAGGUAUGCAAAGGAGUGGACACUAGAAGGAGAUUUUUGUCAUGCCAAUAUGAGGAGAUGUGUGGUUAUGUCAAAUGGAUUGACAAGCCAUGGGAGGGGAGGGAAAGAACUGUCAUUGAUGAAGUUGCUAACAACAAAGAGGUGCUAGAGAAGAAGCUAAUGCAGAAAGAUGGUCAAAUAGAAACUGAGGAGAAGCACGGACUUGAGAAGAAGAAGAUUGGAAGGAUGCACAAAGAUCAGUUACAAUCUAGAGAUAGGACGAUUAUGUUUGUUCUGUUCAUGUACUUUGGGUUAGUCGUAAUCAUGUUUGUUGUGGUUGACAAGAAGUAA
rnacentral:rRNA from 1 species